CCUACGGGUGGCUGCAGUGGGGAAUAUUGGACAAUGGGGGGAACCCUGAUCCAGCCAUGCCGCGUGUGUGAAGAAGGCCCUCGGGUUGUAAAGCACUUUCAGUGAGGAAGAACGCCUGGUGGUUAAUACCCAUCAGGAAAGACAUCACUCACAGAAGAAGCACCGGCUAACUCCGUGCCAGCAGCCGCGGUAAUACGGAGGGUGCGAGCGUUAAUCGGAAUUACUGGGCGUAAAGCGCUCGUAGGUGGCUUGAUAAGCCGGUUGUGAAAGCCCCGGGCUCAACCUGGGAACGGCAUCCGGAACUGUCAAGCUAGAGUGCAGGAGAGGAAGGUAGAAUUCCCGGUGUAGCGGUGAAAUGCGUAGAGAUCGGGAGGAAUACCAGUGGCGAAGGCGGCCUUCUGGACUGACACUGACACUGAGGUGCGAAAGCGUGGGUAGCAAACAGGAUUAGAUACCCGAGUAGUC
rnacentral:rRNA from 1 species